rnacentral:rRNA from 1 species
UUAAGCGACUAAGCGUACACGGUGGAUGCCCUGGCAGUCAGAGGCGAUGAAGGACGUGCUAAUCUGCGAUAAGCGUCGGUGAGGUGAUAUGAACCGUUAUAACCGGCGAUUUCCGAAUGGGGAAACCCAGUGUGUUUCGACACACUAUCAUUAACUGAAUCCAUAGGUUAAUGAGGCGAACCGGGGGAACUGAAACAUCUAAGUACCCCGAGGAAAAGAAAUCAACCGAGAUUCCCCCAGUAGCGGCGAGCGAACGGGGAGGAGCCCAGAGCCUGAAUCAGUGUGUGUGUUAGUGGAAGCGUCUGGAAAGGCGUGCGAUACAGGGUGACAGCCCCGUACACAAAAAUGCACAUAUUGUGAGCUCGAUGAGUAGGGCGGGACACGUGGUAUCCUGUCUGAAUAUGGGGGGACCAUCCUCCAAGGCUAAAUACUCCUGACUGACCGAUAGUGAACCAGUACCGUGAGGGAAAGGCGAAAAGAACCCCGGCGAGGGGAGUGAAAAAGAACCUGAAACCGUGUACGUACAAGCAGUGGGAGCCUCUUUAUGGGGUGACUGCGUACCUUUUGUAUAAUGGGUCAGCGACUUAUAUUCUGUAGCAAGGUUAACCGAAUAGGGGAGCCGAAGGGAAACCGAGUCUUAACUGGGCGUUAAGUUGCAGGGUAUAGACCCGAAACCCGGUGAUCUAGCCAUGGGCAGGUUGAAGGUUGGGUAACACUAACUGGAGGACCGAACCGACUAAUGUUGAAAAAUUAGCGGAUGACUUGUGGCUGGGGGUGAAAGGCCAAUCAAACCGGGAGAUAGCUGGUUCUCCCCGAAAGCUAUUUAGGUAGCGCCUCGUGAAUUCAUCUCCGGGGGUAGAGCACUGUUUCGGCAAGGGGGUCAUCCCGACUUACCAACCCGAUGCAAACUGCGAAUACCGGAGAAUGUUAUCACGGGAGACACACGGCGGGUGCUAACGUCCGUCGUGAAGAGGGAAACAACCCAGACCGCCAGCUAAGGUCCCAAAGUCAUGGUUAAGUGGGAAACGAUGUGGGAAGGCCCAGACAGCCAGGAUGUUGGCUUAGAAGCAGCCAUCAUUUAAAGAAAGCGUAAUAGCUCACUGGUCGAGUCGGCCUGCGCGGAAGAUGUAACGGGGCUAAACCAUGCACCGAAGCUGCGGCAGCGACACUAUGUGUUGUUGGGUAGGGGAGCGUUCUGUAAGCCUGUGAAGGUGGCCUGUGAGGGUUGCUGGAGGUAUCAGAAGUGCGAAUGCUGACAUAAGUAACGAUAAAGCGGGUGAAAAGCCCGCUCGCCGGAAGACCAAGGGUUCCUGUCCAACGUUAAUCGGGGCAGGGUGAGUCGACCCCUAAGGCGAGGCCGAAAGGCGUAGUCGAUGGGAAACAGGUUAAUAUUCCUGUACUUGGUGUUACUGCGAAGGGGGGACGGAGAAGGCUAUGUUGGCCGGGCGACGGUUGUCCCGGUUUAAGCGUGUAGGCUGGUUUUCCAGGCAAAUCCGGAAAACCAAGGCUGAGGCGUGAUGACGAGGCACUACGGUGCUGAAGCGACAAAUGCCCUGCUUCCAGGAAAAGCCUCUAAGCAUCAGGUAACAUCAAAUCGUACCCCAAACCGACACAGGUGGUCAGGUAGAGAAUACCAAGGCGCUUGAGAGAACUCGGGUGAAGGAACUAGGCAAAAUGGUGCCGUAACUUCGGGAGAAGGCACGCUGAUAUGUAGGUGAAGCGACUUGCUCGUGGAGCUGAAAUCAGUCGAAGAUACCAGCUGGCUGCAACUGUUUAUUAAAAACACAGCACUGUGCAAACACGAAAGUGGACGUAUACGGUGUGACGCCUGCCCGGUGCCGGAAGGUUAAUUGAUGGGGUUAGCGGUAACGCGAAGCUCUUGAUCGAAGCCCCGGUAAACGGCGGCCGUAACUAUAACGGUCCUAAGGUAGCGAAAUUCCUUGUCGGGUAAGUUCCGACCUGCACGAAUGGCGUAAUGAUGGCCAGGCUGUCUCCACCCGAGACUCAGUGAAAUUGAACUCGCUGUGAAGAUGCAGUGUACCCGCGGCAAGACGGAAAGACCCCGUGAACCUUUACUAUAGCUUGACACUGAACAUUGAGCCUUGAUGUGUAGGAUAGGUGGGAGGCUUUGAAGUGUGGACGCCAGUCUGCAUGGAGCCGACCUUGAAAUACCACCCUUUAAUGUUUGAUGUUCUAACGUUGGCCCGUAAUCCGGGUUGCGGACAGUGUCUGGUGGGUAGUUUGACUGGGGCGGUCUCCUCCUAAAGAGUAACGGAGGAGCACGAAGGUUGGCUAAUCCUGGUCGGACAUCAGGAGGUUAGUGCAAUGGCAUAAGCCAGCUUGACUGCGAGCGUGACGGCGCGAGCAGGUGCGAAAGCAGGUCAUAGUGAUCCGGUGGUUCUGAAUGGAAGGGCCAUCGCUCAACGGAUAAAAGGUACUCCGGGGAUAACAGGCUGAUACCGCCCAAGAGUUCAUAUCGACGGCGGUGUUUGGCACCUCGAUGUCGGCUCAUCACAUCCUGGGGCUGAAGUAGGUCCCAAGGGUAUGGCUGUUCGCCAUUUAAAGUGGUACGCGAGCUGGGUUUAGAACGUCGUGAGACAGUUCGGUCCCUAUCUGCCGUGGGCGCUGGAGAACUGAGGGGGGCUGCUCCUAGUACGAGAGGACCGGAGUG